CCCUAGCGUUAUGCCCGUUAGUACGGCGAGUGAGCGGCAAAAGCUCAAAUUUGAAAUCUGGCACCUUCGGUGUCCGAGUUGUAAUUUGAAGAAGGUAACUUUGGAGUUGGCUCUUGUCUAUGUUCCUUGGAACAGGACGUCACAGAGGGUGAGAAUCCCGUGCGAUGAGAUGCCCAAUUCUAUGUAAAGUGCUUUCGAAGAGUCGAGUUGUUUGGGAAUGCAGCUCUAAGUGGGUGGUAAAUUCCAUCUAAAGCUAAAUAUUGGCGAGAGACCGAUAGCGAACAAGUACAGUGAUGGAAAGAUGAAAAGAACUUUGAAAAGAGAGUGAAAAAGUACGUGAAAUUGUUGAAAGGGAAGGGCUUGAGAUCAGACUUGGUAUUUUGCGAUCCUUUCCUUCUUGGUUGGGUUCCUCGCAGCUUACUGGGCCAGCAUCGGUUUGGAUGGUAGGAUAAUGACUAAGGAAUGUGGCUCUACUUCGGUGGAGUGUUAUAGCCUUGGUUGAUACUGCCUGUCUAGACCGAGGACUGCGUCUUUUGACUAGGAUGUUGGCAUAAUGAUCUUAAGCCACCCCUCUUAAACAACAUACCAAAAAACAAUAAAAUAAAA
rnacentral:rRNA from 1 species